rnacentral:rRNA from 1 species
UAGGGAAUCUUCCACAAUGGGCGCAAGCCUGAUGGAGCAACACCGCGUGAGUGAAGAAGGGUUUCGGCUCGUAAAGCUCUGUUGUUAAAGAAGAACACGUAUGAGAGUAACUGUUCAUACGUUGACGGUAUUUAACCAAAAAGUCACGGCUAACUACGUGCCGG